rnacentral:SRP_RNA from 1 species
GCUGGGUGUGGUGGCGUGCACCUGUAGUCCCAGCUACUUGGGAGGCUGAGGUGGGAGGACUGCUUGAGCCCAGGAGUUUGAGGCUGCAGUGAGCUGAGAUCAUGCCACUGCACUCCAGCCUGGGUGACAGAGUGAGACCCUGUCUCAA